CUGUGAGCUCGAUGAGUAGGGCGGGACACGUGGUAUCCUGUCUGAAUAUGGGGGGACCAUCCUCCAAGGCUAAAUACUCCUGACUGACCGAUAGUGAACCAGUACCGUGAGGGAAAGGCGAAAAGAACCCCGGCGAGGGGAGUGAAAAAGAACCUGAAACCGUGUACGUACAAGCAGUGGGAGCACAGAGCAAUCUGUGUGACUGCGUACCUUUUGUAUAAUGGGUCAGCGACUUAUAUUCUGUAGCAAGGUUAACCGAAUAGGGGAGCCGAAGGGAAACCGAGUCUUAACUGGGCGUUAAGUUGCAGGGUAUAGACCCGAAACCCGGUGAUCUAGCCAUGGGCAGGUUGAAGGUUGGGUAACACUAACUGGAGGACCGAACCGACUAAUGUUGAAAAAUUAGCGGAUGACUUGUGGCUGGGGGUGAAAGGCCAAUCAAACCGGGAGAUAGCUGGUUCUCCCCGAAAGCUAUUUAGGUAGCGCCUCGUGAAUUCAUCUCCGGGGGUAGAGCACUGUUUCGGCAAGGGGGUCAUCCCGACUUACCAACCCGAUGCAAACUGCGAAUACCGGAGAAUGUUAUCACGGGAGACACACGGCGGGUGCUAACGUCCGUCGUGAAGAGGGAAACAACCCAGACCGCCAGCUAAGGUCCCAAAGUCAUGGUUAAGUGGGAAACGAUGUGGGAAGGCCCAGACAGCCAGGAUGUUGGCUUAGAAGCAGCCAUCAUUUAAAGAAAGCGUAAUAGCUCACUGGUCGAGUCGGCCUGCGCGGAAGAUGUAACGGGGCUAAACCAUGCACCGAAGCUGCGGCAGCGACGCUUAUGCGUUGUUGGGUAGGGGAGCGUUCUGUAAGCCUGCGAAGGUGUGCUGUGAGGCAUGCUGGAGGUAUCAGAAGUGCGAAUGCUGACAUAAGUAACGAUAAAGCGGGUGAAAAGCCCGCUCGCCGGAAGACCAAGGGUUCCUGUCCAACGUUAAUCGGGGCAGGGUGAGUCGACCCCUAAGGCGAGGCCGAAAGGCGUAGUCGAUGGGAAACAGGUUAAUAUUCCUGUACUUGGUGUUACUGCGAAGGGGGGACGGAGAAGGCUAUGUUGGCCGGGCGACGGUUGUCCCGGUUUAAGCGUGUAGGCUGGUUUUCCAGGCAAAUCCGGAAAAUCAAGGCUGAGGCGUGAUGACGAGGCACUACGGUGCUGAAGCAACAAAUGCCCUGCUUCCAGGAAAAGCCUCUAAGCAUCAGGUAACAUCAAAUCGUACCCCAAACCGACACAGGUGGUCAGGUAGAGAAUACCAAGGCGCUUGAGAGAACUCGGGUGAAGGAACUAGGCAAAAUGGUGCCGUAACUUCGGGAGAAGGCACGCUGAUAUGUAGGUGAAGUCCCUCGCGGAUGGAGCUGAAAUCAGUCGAAGAUACCAGCUGGCUGCAACUGUUUAUUAAAAACACAGCACUGUGCAAACACGAAAGUGGACGUAUACGGUGUGACGCCUGCCCGGUGCCGGAAGGUUAAUUGAUGGGGUCAGCGCAAGCGAAGCUCUUGAUCGAAGCCCCGGUAAACGGCGGCCGUAACUAUAACGGUCCUAAGGUAGCGAAAUUCCUUGUCGGGUAAGUUCCGACCUGCACGAAUGGCGUAAUGAUGGCCAGGCUGUCUCCACCCGAGACUCAGUGAAAUUGAACUCGCUGUGAAGAUGCAGUGUACCCGCGGCAAGACGGAAAGACCCCGUGAACCUUUACUAUAGCUUGACACUGAACAUUGAGCCUUGAUGUGUAGGAUAGGUGGGAGGCUUUGAAGUGUGGACGCCAGUCUGCAUGGAGCCGACCUUGAAAUACCACCCUUUAAUGUUUGAUGUUCUAACGUUGACCCGUAAUCCGGGUUGCGGACAGUGUCUGGUGGGUAGUUUGACUGGGGCGGUCUCCUCCUAAAGAGUAACGGAGGAGCACGAAGGUUGGCUAAUCCUGGUCGGACAUCAGGAGGUUAGUGCAAUGGCAUAAGCCAGCUUGACUGCGAGCGUGACGGCGCGAGCAGGUGCGAAAGCAGGUCAUAGUGAUCCGGUGGUUCUGAAUGGAAGGGCCAUCGCUCAACGGAUAAAAGGUACUCCGGGGAUAACAGGCUGAUACCGCCCAAGAGUUCAUAUCGACGGCGGUGUUUGGCACCUCGAUGUCGGCUCAUCACAUCCUGGGGCUGAAGUAGGUCCCAAGGGUAUGGCUGUUCGCCAUUUAAAGUGGUACGCGAGCUGGGUUUAGAACGUCGUGAGACAGUUCGGUCCCUAUCUGCCGUGGGCGCUGGAGAACUGAGGGGGGCUGCUCCUAGUACGAGAGGACCGGAGUGGACGCAUCACUGGUGUUCGGGUUGUCAUGCCAAUGGCACUGCCCGGUAGCUAAAUGCGGAAGAGAUAAGUGCUGAAAGCAUCUAAGCACGAAACUUGCCCCGAGAUGAGUUCUCCCUGACUCCUUGAGAGUCCUGAAGGAACGUUGAAGACGACGACGUUGAUAGGCCGGGUGUGUAAGCGCAGCGAUGCGUUGAGCUAACCGGUACUAAUGAACCGUGAGGCUUAACCUU
rnacentral:rRNA from 1 species